UACGGGGGGGGCAAGCGUUGUUCGGAAUUACUGGGCGUAAAGGGCUCGUAGGCGGCCAACUAAGUCAGACGUGAAAUCCCUCGGCUUAACCGGGGAACUGCAUCUGAUACUGGAUGGCUUGAGAUUGGGAGAGGGAUGCGGAAUUCCAGGUGUAGCGGUGAAAUGCGUAGAUAUCUGGAGGAAUACCGGUGGCGAAGGCGGCAUCCUGGACCGACAUUGACGCUGAACGGCGAAAGCUAGGGGAGCAAACGGG
rnacentral:rRNA from 1 species